CUACGGGUCGCACCAGUGGGGGAUAUUGCACAAUGGGCGAAAGCCUGAUGCAGCAACGCCGCGUGAAGGAAGACGGUUUUCGGAUUGUAAACUUCUAUCAGCAGGGAAGAAAAUGACUGUACCUGACUAAGAAGCCCCGGCUAACUACGUGCCAGGCAGCCGCGGUAAUACGUAGGGGGCAAGCGUUAUCCGGAAUUACUGGGUGUAGAGGGUACGUAGGCGGCUGAUCAAGUCAGAUGUGAAAGCCCGGAGCUCAACUCCGGGACUGCAUUUGAAACUGGUCGGCUAGAGUGCAGGAGAGGAAAGUGGAAUUCCUAGUGUAGCGGUGAAAUGCGUAGAUAUUAGGAAGAACACCAGUGGCGAAGGCGGCUUUCUGGACUGUAACUGACGCUGAGGUACGAAAGCGUGGGGAGCGAACAGGAUUAGAUACCCCCGUAGUC
rnacentral:rRNA from 1 species